GACGGGGGGGGCAAGUGUUCUUCGGAAUGACUGGGCGUAAAGGGCACGUAGGCGGUGAAUCGGGUUGAAAGUGAAAGUCGCCAAAAAGUGGCGGAAUGCUCUCGAAACCAAUUCACUUGAGUGAGACAGAGGAGAGUGGAAUUUCGUGUGUAGGGGUGAAAUCCGAUAAAUAUACGAAGGAACGCCAAAAGCGAAGGCAGCUCGUCUGGGUCCCUACCGACGCUGGGGUGCGAAAGCAU
rnacentral:rRNA from 1 species